CAGGGAGUAGUUUAAGGUUAGAAUUUCAGCUUUGGGUGUUGAAGGUAGAAUGGAUAAUUUCUUUCCCUGA
rnacentral:tRNA from 1 species